ACCAGGCUGGGUGCUGGAGCCCGUCCGGGGCGGCUCUUCCUCGUAGCCUUUGUGUUGCCCGUUCACUUUUGGAAACUAGUGAAUGUGGUGUCAAAAAAGGCGCACAUAAACGCUCUGCAGCCUUUUCCUGCCCUUAAAUUCUGAUAUCUUCGGUGUUGGAGCUGCAUCAAGCAACAGUGAAAGAUGAAGUGCUUGGGGCGGAUUGCUCUAGUUUGGAUACCACGUGGGACUCAAAGGUGACUUCGGGUCAGGAUGUCCUUGAUGCUUUUGAGCUUCACAAGUUGCUUGGAUCGCAAAAGUUCCACGACUCUUGAGUAGUGAAUGCCUGGCAAACAUGCGGGAACAUACAUUUAAGAGAAUAUGAAUAAAUGUUUUAAUAUUUGA